rnacentral:lncRNA from 1 species
AUGGACACAGAAAGGGGAGUACUAAACACCGGGGUCUAUUGGGGGGAAAAGGGGAGGGCCAGUGGGAGGGGGAGGUGGGGAGGGAUAGCCUGGGGAGAAAUGCCAAAUGUGGGUGAAGGGGAGAAGAAAAGCAAAGCACACUGCCAUGUGUGUACCUACGCAACUGUCUUGCAUGCAGAAACAAUUAAAACCACUGAUUGUUCUGUCUGCAAACAUCAGCUACAUGCAUACUAUGUGUAAUAUUUAAAUCAAGGUAUGUAAACUAUCACCUCAAACAAUUAUCUUUUUUUUCAUUUUGGGAACAUUUAGAAUCAUCUCUUCUAGCUAUUUUGAAAUACAGAAUAAAAAAGUGGACAGAGGUUAUGAAGGGUGGCAGGUGGUGAUGAGGAAAGGUUGGUUGAUGACUGAAAACAUACAGUUAUAUAGAAGGAAUAUGUUUUAAGUGUCUAAUAACACAGGAGAGUGACUAUAGUUAAUAAUUUAAUGUUAAGCAUUUUUUUAGACAUCAGGAAUACAAUGGCAGAACAAAAUUCCUACAUCAUGGAUUUAAUUUCUGCUACUAAACUUUCUAAGCACGUUGCCACUUCUGAUCAUUAUUAUUUGGUUUUUUCCUUAACUGAAAUGCUCUUCUCUACUCUUUUAUAUCCUUAAUAUAGCAGCUUAGAUGUCAUUUCCAAAUAUCUGACUCAGAAAAAUAUAUCUGACUAUGCUUCCUAAAAAGCAAUCCCCUCCCACUAGAGUUACUCUUUAUUGCAUCAUCUCUGAGUUUACUUCAUAGCUCUUCUUACAUUUUUCAUGUUUACCCAGAAAUAAAUGGUUUAUUUUUCUUGAACUGGGGCCUUCAACUUGCUCUAUCAAAUUUCCCUAUCUGUCCCUAAUUGAUGUUCUAGGAAAUCUCUCAUAUUUUCAAUUACUUUCAGCUAUUGUAGUGUUCAGUUAAACUUAACAUCAAAACUUCUUUCUCUUGCUUUUACUAAGUGUAUCUCCUGUUCUUAGCAUUGUGCUUGGCAAAUAAUAAAGGGUUAACAAAUAGGUCUUGCACAAGUGAGUGAGUGAAUAAAUAGAUGAGUAGAUAAUUGGAUGAAUAAAUGAAUGUCUGAGUGAAUACUUAAGGAUAAGAUUCAGUAAGAUCAUAAAAUAAAUUGUUUUCAACUCAUAAGUUGUACGGACCAGGCAAAGGAAAUGUGUCAGAAUUGCUUCUUUUAAGCUGAGUCCUGAAAUAUGCUAAGUAGUUCACCAUGUCGACCUGGAGCAGAAAGCAUUCCAGUCUGAGAAAGCAGAGUAGGUAAAGGCCUAGAAAUGCGAAAGAGUAUAGCACAUGAAGAAGACUGAGAAAAGCAGACUAAAUGGAGAGGAGAAAGUCUAGUUAGUCAUAACAGCAGAUGAAUAUAGAGAAAUAGAGCAGUUCAGAGCCAGCCUCAUUAGUAAUAUCAAAAUUUGGGAUGGUAUUUACAACUUAGUCAUCAUUAACCAAGCAUGUGCUGUCUUUUCACAUUACUGGAACCCCCACUGUUCCUCUGAAAAAUUCCAUUUCAAGGUCAAAAUCAAAGCUUUCUUGUUAUCACCUCUGAAGUCUUUCUUUACCUUAACAUGUGAAGCUGAUUACAAUCUCUUCUAGGCUACUUCAGUACAGAAUCCAUGCAUGACUGAAAUCCAAUGCAUCACUUAGCGGCCAGAUUGAAGUCUUCCUGUAAUGUCUGCUUUAUUUGUGCUCCUCUAGUACUUAGCACAGUUUUAGUAGUUGACACUUUACAAAUGUUAAAGAAGUUUCUUUCCCAAUUUUCCUGAUGUUACCUUCCAAUUUUGAAAGUUUAUGCAGUACUAACUAAUGUAAAAAACGAUUCAUCAAAAGCAAAGUUAAAUACUGUCACCAGAAAGCAACAAUUUGAGAUUCUUUAAACUUGCAUUAAAAAAGAGGGAAUAUUAGUGAUUAAAAAUAUCAAAGAAACAUCCUCUGUAAUUACUGUUAAGUAGUAUUUUUUAAUGUAAGUCAGACAAAAGGGAAAUGGAGAUAAAUAAGAUAUAAACAUUUCUUCAUUAUGUUAGGUUGUAUAGUAAUGCUUUAAAUCUUGCUUAUCCCUACUUAUAUUUGAACCUUAGAUAUUUAAAGGGUUUUCCUGAGGGAGAGAUUUUCACAAACCAAACCAUCAUGCUAAACAGUUGCACAUGGUUGCAUAAUUUUGGGCUAUUUAACCUGACAUCUUUUCAACUUACUUGGGUUGAAGCCUUGCUUUAUUGUUGCUUCUGAUUUCUUUUCUUUCCUUUUAUCUUGCUUCAGAGAGUGCAGAUUAAUCCAGUUCUGUCCAGACUGAUUAAAGUUGUUAAGUUACCCACAGAGGGCUUUGCGAAAUAAAUCUGGUAAUUCAAUUCUCAAUAGACUGUAAAAAUAUGUUAUUAGUUAAUUAUCAAGAUACUUCUGAACGUUAUUAAAUUACCCCAUUUGUCUUCUGAUUAUUAUUCUGGAGUCAUGUAAAAUUAUAAAAUGUGAGCCGGGCAUGGUGGCUCAUGCUUGUAAUACCAGCAGCACUUUGGGAGGCCAAGGUGGGGAGAUCAUCUGAGGUCGGGAGUUUGAGACCAGCCUGACCAACAUGAAGAAAUUCUGUCUCUACUAAAAAUACAAAAUUAGCUGAGGGUGGUGGUGCAUGCCUGUAAUCCCAGCUACUUGGGAGGAUGAGGUGGGAGAAUCGCUUGAACCAAGGAGGUGGAGGUAGUAGUAAGCUGAGAUGAUGCCACUGCACUCCAGCCUGGGCUUUAAGAGCAAAAUUCCAUCUAAAAAAAAAUAGUGUGAAGAAUACCCUGUUAAAUACCAAAUAUCCAAUGUUUGAGUGAUUUUUUUCAACCACAAUUCAAGUUUAUACUCCCCUAAUUUCAAAAAGCUUAUUAUUGACAUUUAUCAUUAAUCUUAACUUGUUGGACACAUUUCUAAUUUGAUAUUAAAGUAGAAUAUUCGUUUGAAUCAUUAGAAUCCACUAUGGGUAUAUUACCUUUUAGUUCACCUGACCAAGGCAUCAUUUGUAAACUACUACAUGGAGAUUGGACAGCUCAUUCACUCAGCACUAAUGCACAGUGAUAGGCAGUUGUGCUCACCUUACCAGUCAAUUUGACUGUGCCUGCAUUCAUGAAGUAAAUAAAUAAUUAAUUCUUCAACAAACAAAUGCUUGGUUUCCUUGAUCAAUAUCACAUGCUUUCUUUGUGGUAUCCCUUUUUCACCUAUAAAAUAGGACUAGAAACUAUUUCAAGGGUUGUUUCCAGGACAAAAUGAGCUCUUUUGCAUUUAGAUUGUAUUUAAUGCAUAUUGGCAUAAUAUCAUAAGACCUUACAGGUAACCCCUUGGUAGGAUUCAUCAGACAGGCUUUAUCCCAGAUGUUAGCUAGAGCAGUGUGGUCCAAUAAAAUUGAGACACAAAGCUUCUAUAGUAAUUGUCAAUAUGAUGGUCUUUAGUCUCUGAUGUGCUUUUAUGCUUGGGUUCAUGGUUCAUGAUAGGAUGGUAUCCUUUAAAAUCAUGGACAUUAAUGAAGUAUUUUCUAUUUAUUGUUUGCUGACUAAAAGAAUAAGUACUUUUCUUGUCUGGUGGCCUUUAUGAAGCUAAUAUUUCUGAUAGUAACCAUUCAGUUAAAGUAAUGCUUCCAAUAAUUGCUGCUUUUAAUGUAUUUAUUUCUUAAGGAGGAAAAAAAAAGAAUCUGUUAAAUGCAUUUUUCUACAAGUAGUCAUUAGUGAAUUGCUUUUAGAGGAAUCUCUGCACUCAGCAGCUUAUAAUGCUCCUGAAAUGAUUCACAAUUCAACAUUGCAGCAACCCCAAAUAUUAGUACUUCUUUUUCCUUGGCUUGAAUAUUAUGAUCUCAGACAAGCCAUUCAAGAAAAAAAGAGAUAUUAUGAAAAUGAAAAGCAAAAGUAAUAAUAACCAUCUGUGCUGUCCAGUGAUUUCCAAUUAACAAUUAAAGAACAUGUUAAAAUAAAUUUAUCAGAAGUUACUUAUUUGCUCUCUAUUUCUAAAAGUUUGUUACACAGUUCUUUGCUCAAAUUUGGCAGAAGGCUAAAUAAUAAAUAAACAUUGUUUUAGACAACUUUAGCAUUCUUCUGAAUGGCAGGCCAAAAGCAAAUAACUGAGUAUUAAUUGUUUAAUACUUCUUGAAUGGAAAGGUAUUUUAAUGGGUUUGUUAGGAAGAGUGUAGAAUGAUUUGAGAAUGCUGUUAUAUUUAGCAGUAGAAAAUCUUAAUGGAGAAAAAAGAAAAAAACAACAAAUGAUUAGGCACCAAACUUAGGAGUUUGUUGAAAAGGCAUAUAUUUUUUUAACUAUUAACAAAUCUAAGUGGUAUUUUAUUCUGACUUGCUUACGGAUAGUUUCAUAAACUCAGAGUAUGCCUAAGUGUAAGUUAUGAGAAAAGAAGACUUUAAAUUUAAUCAGAUAGCAGAAGUUUAAGAAGAGCUUAUAUCAACUGAUCUAACCAAUAUGAAAGUAUCUUUUCAAAAUGAGAAUUGUAUAAUAAGAUUGAACUAAAAGAUUGACUAAAUGGGUUUCACACUUACAUGAAUUGUAGAAGGGAAUAACUUUUUAACGUUUUACUCCAACAAAGUAAUGAUAACACAGUUUUAAAAUAAUUAUCGUUUAGUACAACUCUUGGAAGAGUGAAUCCACAGUGUUCCAGUGAAUUAAUAAACCAGCUAUUACCAAUACAUUAUUGUCUAUGAAAACAACAUAUUUAUAACCACAAACUAUUUUCCA